AAGGUACACACCAAGAGGGAGGUUUGCCCUGUCCCCUUAUGAGAUCCUGUUUGGAUCAGCCCCUAGACUUGGAUGCUUUUUCCCCCAACAACUCCAGCUCCAUUCUGAUAUACUGGUUGACUAUGUUACUGCUCUCUCCUGAGCGUUGACCAAAAUCCAUGCACAAGUGUUUUCUUCCAUUCCAGAUCCAGAGUCUGAUACAAGCACCUACCAAUUGCUUCCUGGUGAUUGGGUUCUGGUUAAGAAAUUUGUGAGGAAACACGCCCUUGAGCCUAGAUAUGAUGGUCCAUUCCAAGUCCUCUUAGUCACAG